UUUAUACUCCCUUUAAAUUUGUCCCAUUUCUAAGACAGCAGAAUUUUCAGAAUUCUCUUUACAAUCAUUGAAGAACAGCUUGAAUCCCUGAAAUGUGUCAGUAUGCAUAUGGGGACCAGGCAUGGAGGGAAGUACAGUGUUCAUUUGAUGGGAAAAAGCUGUACAAGAUAUUCAGCCACUUGAUGGAAUGGGAAGGAAGUCCAGAUAUGGGGAGGGCCAUGUAACUUCUCAUCUAAACAGAGACACUUGUGAAAGAAUGGCCAUGAUUAAAACAUCAAAA
rnacentral:lncRNA from 1 species